GACGGUUGUGGGAUGGUUCGAUGGCCUUGGAAUCACUACGGUGGGUUUAGUUGAUGACGGGUUGAGGUGUUCUUCCCCCCCUGGACACCAAGAGGACAACACGCGAACCCGUUAUCAAAGCAGAGGUCCCGAUCGACGUGUUGUCCCAACGUUCCGACCGAUAUUUCAGAUUUUGUUGGCAACGAUGGACCGACCCGAUUGAUGGUUUUGAUUUUGUGGGAAAUGUUGGACGGAACCGAUAGAUGGUUUCAAUUUUGUGGGAAACGAUGGACCGACCUGAUUGAUGGUUUUGAUUUCGUGGGAAAUUAUGUAUCGACCCGAUUGACGGUUUUGAUUUUCGCAUCGUGCGGUGCUUUCCUUGGAACCAACAUCGGCUAUAGGUUGCAUUCUUGGCUUUUGUGCUAGGGAUGUGGCUAUUAGUUGGGUGGUUUUAGGGAUUGUCGAUCGUAAAGGUGCAUGAGUUGUGUUUGGUUUGUUACGUGUCGUUGGAUGUCUGCUUAUGCAGCAACGUCGACACGUGCAGACCUCUUCAUCUAUUGUGAAAGCGUGCUUUGCUUUUGCAUGUUGUGGGUUUCUAGCGUUGUGUUCCUGAAUUGUGGCAUUUUAUGGUCUGAACAACGUGUCUUUAAUCAUGUCACACAUACGUGUGCCACGUGAAAAGGCAUGAAGCUAUCUUUUCAAACCACUUCGUCUUUGUCUUUUGCAUUGAUGUUGUGGCCUGUUGAGAAAGCUGGUCUCAUGGAUGCGGUGCCUGACUCGAUGAUUUGGUUUUAUUAACCAUUUUGGUUGCCAUAACUAGAUGUUUUUGCCUCUCUUUCAUAUGACCGUCCAUUGUG
rnacentral:misc_RNA from 1 species